rnacentral:lncRNA from 1 species
GGGACUUGACGAUGGCGCCUGCUCGUUCCUGUUGUGUUCUAUCUGAGGCAUGAUUUUCUUUCGUUUUUGGGAGGUAGAGAGCACGGGGCAGAGGUUGCACCUGACACAUUAGAACUCCGUUGUCACUGCUGUGGCUGUUAUUCCCCUCGGCAAGAGCCAAGGAGCAAACAGGACGUGAAGAUCCCGGUGUUACACAUCCAAUCGUUCACCUCCUUCCAAGACUAUGACAUUCCAGGAAACCUUCACUGCUAAGAGGAACUAAGAUCUAGAGUAUCUCCUCGAGGAAGUACAACUGCAUUAUAAAUUAAGGAGGAAUAGUAACAAAGAGCUUGAAGACAUGCACAGCUCACAGGCCCCGGGUGGAGGCUGGCGACAUCAGACAGACAGAACCAAGACAUCUGAGGGGCAACCAGGAGGUGCGUGUGGCUGCAGAGCACACAG